AGUGAACGCUGGCGGUAGGCCUAACACAUGCAAGUCGAACGGCAGCACAGUAAGAGCUUGCUCUUACGGGUGGCGAGUGGCGGACGGGUGAGGAAUACAUCGGAAUCUACUUUUUCGUGGGGGAUACGUAGGGAAACUUACGCUAAUACCGCAUACGACCUACGGGUGAAAGCCGGGGAUCUUCGGACCUUUCGCGAUUGAAUGAGUCGAUGUCGGAUUAGCUAGUUGGCGGGGUAAAGGCCCACCAAGGCGACGAUCCGUAGCUGGUCUGAGAGGAUGAUCAGCCACACUGGAACUGAGACACGGUCCAGACUCCUACGGGAGGCAGCAGUGGGGAAUAUUGGACAAUGGGCGCAAGCCUGAUCCAGCCAUACCGCGUGGGUGAAGAAGGCCUUCGGGUUGUAAAGCCCUUUUGUUGGGAAAGAAAAGCAGCAGGUUAAUACCCCGCUGUUCUGACGGUACCCAAAGAAUAAGCACCGGCUAACUUCGUG
rnacentral:rRNA from 1 species